rnacentral:rRNA from 1 species
CCACUGCCAUUGCCCUAGUACGGCGAGUGAAGCGGCAACAGCUCAAAUUUGAAAUCUGGCCUCUUUUGGGGUCCGAGUUGUAAUUUGCAGAGGGCGCUUUGGAGUCGGCAGCGGUCCAAGUUCCUUGGAACAGGACGUCACAGAGGGUGAGAAUCCCGUACGUGGUCGCUAGCCUUCUCCGUGUAAAGCCCCUUCGACGAGUCGAGUUGUUUGGGAAUGCAGCUCUAAAUGGGAGGUAAAUUUCUUCUAAAGCUAAAUAUUGGCCAGAGACCGAUAGCGCACAAGUAGAGUGAUCGAAAGAUGAAAAGCACUUUGGAAAGAGAGUCAAAAAGCACGUGAAAUUGUUGAAAGGGAAGCGCUUGCAGCCAGACUUGCCUGUAGUUGCUCAUCCGGGCUUUUGCCCGGUGCACUCUUCUAUAGGCAGGCCAGCAUCAGUUUGGGCGGUUGGAUAAAGGUCUCUGUCAUGUACCUCUCUUCGGGGAGAACUUAUAGGGGAGACGCCAUGCAACCAGCUCAGACUGAGGUCCGCGCAUUCGCUAGGAUGCUGGCGUAAUGGCUGUAAGCGGCCCGUCUUGAAACACGGACCCAAAAA